GAACGCACAUUGCGCCCUGUGGUAUUCCGCAGGGCAUGCCUGUUCGAGCGUCAUUUCAACCCUCAAGCUCUGCUUGGUGUUGGGCCCUGCCCGCUGCGGCCGGCCCUAAAGACAGUGGCGGUGCCGCCUGGCCCUGAGCGUAGUACGUCUCUCGCUCCAGUGCCCGGUGGUAGCCUGCCAGAACCCCAACUCUCGUGGUUGACCUCGGAUCAGGUAGGGAUACCCGCUGAACUUAAG
rnacentral:misc_RNA from 1 species